rnacentral:miRNA from 14 species
UGUGGCCUCGUUGGAGGAAGUGUGUCACUGGGGGUGGGCUUUGAGGUUUCAGAUGCUCGAGCCAGGCCUAGUGUCACCCUCUCUUCCUGCUGCCUGC